GACGAACGCUGGCGGCGUGCCUAAUACAUGCCAGUUGAGCGCUGAAGGUUGGUACUUGUACCAACUGGAUGAGCAGCGAACGGGUGAGUAACGCGUGGGGAAUCUGCCUUUGAGCGGGGGACAACAUUUGGAAACGAAUGCUAAUACCGCAUAAAAACUUUAAACACAAGUUUUAAGUUUGAAAGAUGCAAUUGCAUCACUCAAAGAUGAUCCCGCGUUGUAUUAGCUAGUUGGUGAGGUAAAGGCUCACCAAGGCGAUGAUACAUAGCCGACCUGAGAGGGUGAUCGGGCGCAUUGGGACUGAGGCACGGCCCAAACGCCUACGGGAGGCGGCAGUAGGGAAGCUUCGGCAAUGGACGAAAGUCUGACCGAGCAACGCCGCGGGAGUGAAGAAGGGUUUCGGAUCGGAAAACUCUGUUGGUAGAGAAGAACGUUGGUGAGAGUGGAAAGCUCAUCAAGUGACGGUAACUACACAGAAAGGGACGGCUAACUACGUG
rnacentral:rRNA from 1 species